CUACGGAGGGUGCAAGUGUUAUUCGGAAUCACUGGGCGUAAAGGACGCGUAGGCGGGUUGGCAAGUCAGAUGUGAAAUCCUACAGCUUAACUGUAGAACUGCAUUUGAAACUGCUAACCUAGAGUAUGGGAGGGGGAGAUGGAAUUAGUGGUGUAGGGGUAAAAUCCGUAGAUAUCACUAGGAAUACCGAAAGCGAAGGCGAUCUCCUGGAACAUAACUGACGCUAAGGCGUGAAAGCGUGGGGAGCAAACAGGAUUAGAUACCCUAGUAGUCC
rnacentral:rRNA from 1 species